rnacentral:tmRNA from 1 species
GGGGGUGACUUGAUUCGACAAUACGUCAUGCUGACCGCAUGCGAACCGGUGAAUGCUGGAGAUCACCUUAAACCUCGAGCGCCAAACGUGUGAGAACGUUUGUACCGAGCCCUUACGCUUUCGCUACGGUGAACGCGUAAUCUCGAUCGUCCCCGCCUUGUGCCGGGACGACGCCACAAUUCUGACGUUCGAUAAGAAACCUGUGGUGUCAUAACAUCGGACUCUAACUCUCCGCCUGCUCACCGGGGAGUUGAACUUACCGAGCUCGUCCGUACGCGCUUUCGUCACCUUUAUAGCGUGCGGAUCAAAUACAAAAGCUGACUACGGUUCGUAGAUUGCUUCAAAGUGGCGCAUUGGACGGGAGCUCACUACUCCCCACCUCCACUA